AGGAAGAAGGCAGUGUGGAUACUGGAAGGUUAUGGACCUAUAGAUGGCAGGUAGUGGACACCCUGGGCCCUGAGACUCGGCAGCAUGUGCCUGCACUGUACUUCUGCCACCGAUGAUGCUAUCCAGGUCAACCCCGAAAUGUCAAAAUGGCAUCCUGCAGUAGCGUCCAUGAGAGGACAGGGCACAGGUAAGCGUAUUGAAGAUAUGCAAAAC